ACCCUGUGGGGUACCUCAUCAUUCUUACCAUCCCCACGCCUUCAAAGGUGAAGAUGGCUGUGCCAAAGAACAACAAGAAAGUCUUCCAGCUUGCAACCAGGGGCAGGCUGCUGUGACGUGGGGUCUCCUGAAAGAGAGGAAGGGUGUUGGCUUUGCCGUGGGGAGGUCAUCUGGGGUCACGUCCGAUGACAGAUAGUGUAAAGGGCAUUGUUACUUACUGUCUUAUCUUUAAAAAAGUGUUCUAAUCAAUUAGCUAAUUUAUUUUGGGACAGAGUCUCCUGCAGCCCAGGCUGACCUUGAACUCAGUAUGUCCCUGAGCACAAUUCUGAAUUCCUAACCCUCCUGUCUCUGUCUCCAUCUCCAGUGCUGGGACUACAGGUGUGCACUACCAGGUGUAGUUUUACGCAGUGUUGAAGAUGGAACCGAGGUCCUCCUGCAUGCUAGUUUGUCUUCUCAUCUUAAAUAUGGAACAGUCAGGACAGUGGAAGAAGGCAAUUGCCCAAGGCUAUUUUGCAAACUACUCACACAGCCCAGGCACGGGUACAGUGAACUCCGAGGGCUGUUUUUGUCCUACAUAGCUACUUAAGACAGCAUCAGCUUGGAUCCUGACCUCAU